UACGGAGGGGGCGAGCGUUAUUCGGAAUUAUUGGGCGUAAAGGGCGCGUAGGCGGCCCGGUAAGUCAAAGGUGAAAUCCCUCGGCUCAGCUGAGGAACUGCCUUUGAAACUGUCGGGCUUGAGUGCGGGAGAGGAAAGCGGAAUUCCUGGUGUAGAGGUGAAAUUCGUAGAUAUCAGGAGGAACACCGGUGGCGAAAGCGGCUUUCUGGCCCGACACUGACGCUCAUGUACGAAAGCGUGGGGAGCAAACAGG
rnacentral:rRNA from 1 species